UACGGGGGGGGCAAGCGUUGUUCGGAAUUACUGGGCGUAAAGGGCUCGUAGGCGGCCAACUAAGUCAGACGUGAAAUCCCCAGGCUUAACCUGGGAACUGCGUCUGAGACUGAAUGGCUUGAAUCCGGGAGAGGGAUGCGGAAUUCCAGGUGUAGCGGUGAAAUGCGUAGAUAUCAGGAGGAACACCGGUGGCGAAGGCGGGUCUCUGGGCCGAUACUGGCGCUGAGGAGCGAAAGCGUGGGGAGCGAACAGG
rnacentral:rRNA from 1 species